GAUGAACGCUGGCGGCGUGCUUAACACAUGCAAGUCGAACGGAAAGGCCCUGCUUUUGUGGGGUGCUCGAGUGGCGAACGGGUGAGUAACACGUGAGUAACCCGCCCCUGACUUUGGGAUAACUUCAGGAAACCGGGGCUCAUACCGGAUAGGAGCUCCUGCUGCAUGGUGGGGGCUGGAAAGUUUCGGCGGUUGGGGCUGGACUCGCGGCUUAUCAGCUUGUUGGUGGGGUAGUGGCUUACCAAGGCUUUGACGGGUAGCCGGCCUGGGAGGGUGACCGGCCACCUUGGGCCUGAGAUACGGCCCAGUCUCCUACGGGAGGCAGCAGUGGGGAGUAUUGCGCAAUGGGCGGGAGCCUGAUGCAGCAACGCCGCGUGCGGGAUGACGGCCUUCGGGUUGUAAACCGCUUUCGCCUGUGACGAAGCGUGAGUGACGGUAAUGGGUAAGGAAGCACCGGCUAACUACGUG
rnacentral:rRNA from 1 species